ensembl:rRNA 5S_rRNA 5S ribosomal RNA
GUCUACGGCCAUGCCAUCCUGAACGUGCCCGAUCUCAUCUGAUCUCGAAGGCUAAGCAGUGUUGGGCCUGGUUAGUAUUUGGAUGGGAGACUAGGAAUAGUACUAGGAAUACCAGGUCUGUAGGCA